GGUGAGUAAUGCGCGGGUAACGUACCUUGGGCACCGGAAUAGCGUCGUCCCGAUUCGUCGGGACUACCGAAAGGGGCGGUAAUACCGGAUGACAUCAGCGGAUCACAUGUUCUGCUGAUCAAAUGGUGGCCUCUACUUGUAAGCUGCCGGCCUGGGAGCGGCCCGUGUCCUAUCAGCUUGUUGGUGGGGUAACGGCCUACCAAGGCGAUGACGGGUAGCAGGACUGAGAGGUUGGCCUGCCACAUCGGGACUGAGACACUGCCCGGACCUCCACGGAGGGCUGCAGUAACGAAUAUUCCGCAAUGGGCGCAAGCCUGACGGAGCAACGCCGCGUGUAGGAUGAAGUCUUUCGGGAUGUAAACUACUGUCAGGGUUUAGCAAGCGAAUGGGGUUAAUAGCCCCAGGAGUUGAGCAGACCCGGAGGAAGCCCCGGCUAACUUCGUGCCAGCAGCCGCGGUAAGACGAAGGGGGCAAGCGUUGUUCGGAAUCACUGGGCUUAAAGGGUGUGUAGGCGGUCUGUCAAGCGUCUUGUGAAAUCCCCCGGCUUAACCGGGGAAGUGCUGGGCGAACUGGCAGACUUGAGCUGUGUAGGGGUCAGCGGAACUCUGGGUGGAGCGGUGAUAUGCGUAGAUAUCCAGGGGAACGCCGGUGGUGAAAACGGCUGACUGGGCACAUGCUGACGCUGAGACACGAAAGCGUGGGGAGCGAACGGGAUUAGAUACCCUGGUA
rnacentral:rRNA from 1 species